rnacentral:rRNA from 1 species
GACGAACGCUGGCGGCGUGCUUAACACAUGCAAGUGGAGCGACGAACCAGGGCUUGCCCUGGGGCAGAGCCGCGAACGGGUGAGUAACACGUGGGUUACCUGCCUCGAUGACCGGGACAACCCGAGGAAACUCGGGCUAAUACCGGAUGUGCCCGCAAGGGGAAAGGAAGCUUCGGCCUCCGCAUCGAGAUGGGCCCGCG